GACAGAGGGUGCAAACGUUGUUCGGAAUUACUGGGCGUAAAGCGCAUGUAGGCGGCCACGCAGGUCGGAUGUGAAAUCCCUCGGCUCAACCAAGGAAGUGCAUUCGAAACCGCAUGGCUGGAGUCCCGGAGAGGGUAGUGGAAUUCUCGGUGUAGAGGUGAAAUUCGUAGAUAUCGAGAGGAACACCGGCGGCGAAAGGCGGC
rnacentral:rRNA from 1 species